CCUACGGGUGACAGCAGUGGGGAAUAUUGCACAAUGGGGGGAACCCUGAUGCAGCGACGCCGCGUGGGUGAGGAAGUACUUCGGUAUGUAAAGCCCUAUCAGCAGGGAAGAAAAUGACGGUACCUGACUAAGAAGCCCCGGCUAACUACGUGCCAGCAGCCGCGGUAAUACGUAGGGGGCAAGCGUUAUCCGGAUUUACUGGGUGUAAAGGGAGCGUAGACGGCGUGCCAAGUCUGGUGUGAAAGGCCGGGGCUCAACCGCGGGACUGCCUUGGAAACUGGCAUGCUGGAGUGCCGGCGGGGCAAGCGGAAGUCGUAGUGUAGCGGUGAAAUGCGUAGAUAUUAGGAGGAACACCGAGGGCGAAGGCGGCUUACUGGACGGUAACUGACGUUGAGGCUCGAAAGCGUGGGGAGCGAACAGGAUUAGAUACCCGAGUAGUC
rnacentral:rRNA from 1 species